CCUCAACAACAAUAGUACCCCGCUCAGGACCUCAUCACUAGUCCAAACACCUCACCCAGAGACCUUGGUUUUGGUAAGAUCUCCUUUCAAAAUAUUAGAUCCAGAUGGUGAGAUCCAAAUCUGAUUUCUACGUUGUGAAAUUAAAUAGAUUUUGAGAUUAAGGAAAGGAAGAAGAUAUGGCAAUAAGAAGAAGAAGAAGAAGAAGAAGAAAAAUUGUUACUGAAUCCGAGAAAUUGUUUCAGUCUUUAGAUAAAGAAGAAUCGAUUGAAACACAGAAUUACAAGAAGAAGAAGAAGAAGAAGAAAAAGAAGUUGGGUUGAUUUGGUACGAGCGAUCUCGAAAAUUGGAAAAUAGAACACCAACUGGAAGAAAAUCUGAGUUUAGCUUGAUUUUUCGUGAGCCAUUCCCGAAUUUUUGUGAUCUCUUCCUGCGGAAGUACUACUAAUUCUUCUAAGCACUGGGAAGGUAUGACUUAUGAGGAAAUUACUUCAAAGAGGAGAGACAAACAAGUUGAAGCAUUCCGAGUUGGAAUCUGAGUUGAAACGAAGAGAUUGACACCCUGAAGGUUAUGGAGAGGAGGAGAUGCAUUGAAGAAAAACUUCCAGAAAUUCAGAUCUGCUGCCACAGGUCCAUGGCAGGUGUUUGGUAAUCAAGUAGUUUGAAUUUGGGGAUCUAAAACGAACUUAAUGAAUGCUAAUCAACUUUCUUUUCCGAUUUGUCUUCAAGAAUUGGCAAGUAAAUGGAUCUGAAUACAAAGUAUGGGAAACAACACUGCCACAAUUGCACGUAUAUGUAUAAUUCUGUCAGUAGUCUAGACUUCAACAACUGUUGCAUCAGCUGCUGCAUUCUGUUCAGGCGCAACUGGGAUAUUACCAGAUGUUUUCUUCAAUGUACCUGAUGCUACACAAAUGACUUAAUGUUCUUUUCUUGUUGGAUCAAACCCAAACGCAAUGCAGUUGCCUACUUUCCCCCCUC